AGAGCGAACGCUGGCGGCAUGCUUAACACAUGCAAGUCGCACGGGCAGGGGUAACUCUGUCAGUGGCGGACGGGUGAGUAACGCGUAGGUAUCUAUCCUUGGGUGGGGGACAACUGUGGGAAACUACAGCUAAUACCGCAUGAUAACUGAGGUUUAAAGGCGCAAGUCGCCUGGGGAGGAGCCUGCGUACGAUUAGCUAGUUGGUGGGGUAAAGGCCUACCAAGGCGACGAUCGUUAGCUGGUCUGAGAGGAUGAUCAGCCACAUUGGGACUGAGACACGGCCCAAACUCCUACGGGAGGCAGCAGUGGGGAAUAUUGGACAAUGGGCGAAAGCCUGAUCCAGCAAUGCCGCGUGUGUGAAGAAGGUCUUCGGAUUGUAAAGCACUUUCGACGGGGACGAUGAUGACGGUACCCGUAGAAGAAGCCCCGGCUAACUUCGUGCCAGCAGCCGC
rnacentral:rRNA from 1 species